GACGAACGCUGGCGGCGUGCUUAACACAUGCAAGUCGAACGGGAUCACUGUUUUCGGAUGGUGGUUUAGUGGCGAACGGGUGAGUAACACGUGGGUGACCUGCCCUGCACUCUGGGAUAAGCCUGGGAAACUGGGUCUAAUACCGGAUAGGACCUAUCAUUGCAUGGUGGUGGGUGGAAAGUGUUUGUGGUGUGGGAUGGGCCCGCGGCCUAUCAGCUUGUUGGUGGGGUGAUGGCUUACCAAGGCGA
rnacentral:rRNA from 1 species